CUUAAUUACUUUGACUUGUUAUGGGAGUGCCCAUAAAAUUAGAAGUUUCUUACUUUCGUUUCAAGCAGCGUUUCAUUAAUAAAUAACUGGGGGAUGACUCAGCUGCUCUUUACUUGGAAGCUAAACUUUAAAAUGCCACAGUGACAACAGGAGGGGGGAGUUUUCCAAGCCGAAUUCAAGCUCACAAUCUCCUGAUGCGUCAUGUUGAGGACAGGAGUCUACAGGAAAUACUCACCCCUACUGUGGAAGCCAUGAAGUCUGCACACAUCUCUGCAAAAUCCCUGCCGAGGACGCCGUAAUAGAGACCGUAAAAGAGCAUGGAAACACCAAAAUCCAUGGAAUCUUCCGGCUUUAUUCUGAGCAAGAAACACGAAGAAGGGCCAUGUUUCAAUUCAGGAAGAAAGUGACCGCACCCUAUUUAAGGAGAGCGAGAGCAGAGGGAGCGAGAGCAGAGGGAGCGAGAGCAGAGGAGAGGAGAGGGAGCUCUCUCCCCAACCAGACGACUUGUGUGUGUGCGUGUGUGCGUGUGUGGCUGGGAGAGCCAAAGUUGUGCACUGAAAAGUGAAAAU